rnacentral:misc_RNA from 1 species
AAGUCGUAACAAGGUCUCCGUUGGUGAACCAGCGGAGGGAUCAUUACAGGGUCUAACGACUGCCCAAAACCAACCGUGCUCCUUUCCAUUUUCUCUUGCUUCGGUGAUCGCCUGCUGGGGAGGCCACCGGCCGGGCGUCAUGCCUGGUGGUUGCCGAAGCAUACCACUAUAAACUUUUUACUUUGCAACGUAUCUUCUGAGAACUUUCUACAAAAGAACAAUCACAACUCACAACAAUGGAUCUCUUGGCUCUG